GUAAUGGCAAACAGCAUUUACUAUGAAACAAAAGGUUUUUCAGCCGUACUUUGUCUAGCCUGCUCCAAAUUUCUCAUGUGUCAGAAUUUUAUUUUAAGACAUUAAUGUGACACUUUAAAAUUAUGAUAAGAGCGCCACCUAGUGGUAACAAGAAGUCAGAGGUUGUGCACUUUCACAUCCUCUUCCUCACACUUAAUCAGAUCCAUCUCAUAUUUUGUCAGAAAUGCCUUCAGACAAUAAUAAUGCUCUAUGGUAAAGGUUGUUUUAAAGGAAGUGGCGUGGCGGCCUUGCAAAUUUAGAUCCUUCGCCCAGCCUGCCGAAACUGCAUGGCGAGCGGCAUUUAAGAGCCUUCGGUCCAAACUUCUCGUGAUAGAAGCACAAGCCUGAAGAAGACUGCUGGGGGCCUGAAACUUGCUGACGACCUGAAGACAGCUGCCGACGAGAAGAGGUAGCAUAAAACAGAUAAAUGUACUUUCCUGAGGUGCUAGAUUCAGGAAAACACUGUUAACCAAUGCAUUCUUGUGUUCUGUGCGUUUUUAAGCCUUCUCUCGGCCUGAAAACGCCUUAAUAGUCAAGAUUGCACCAAAACUUAUUUUGAACAAAAAAAGUUGGAAAACUAUUCACAAACCAUGAUACCACCAUGAAAAGGAUGAAUGUACUUUCCUGAGGUGCUAGUUUGAUGAAAACACUGUUAACCAAUGCAUUCUUGUGUUCUGUGCGUUUUCAGCUUUCUCUCGGGCUGCAAACCACUUAAUAGUCAUGAAUGCACCAAAACUUAGUUUGAACAAAAAAGGUUGGAAAACUAUUCACAAACCAUGAUACCACCAUGAAAAAGAUAAAUGUAGUUUUCCUGAGGUGCUAGUUUUAGGUAAACACUGUUAACCAAUGCAUUCUUGUGUUCUGUGCGUUUUCAGCUUUCUCUCGGCCUGCAAACGCCUUAAUAGUCAUGAAUGCACAAAAACUUAGUUUGAACAAAAAAGGUUGGAAAACUAUUCACAAACCAUGAUACCACCAUGAAAAGGAGGAAUGUACUUUCCUGAGGUGCUAGUUUUAGGUAAACACUGUUAACCAAUGCAUUCUUGUGUUCUGUGCGUUUUCAGCUUUCUCUCGGCCUGCAAACGCCUUAAUAGUCAAGAUUGCACCAAAACUUAGUUUGAACAAAAAAGGUUGGAAAACUAUUCACAAAUCAUGAUACCAUCAUAAAACAGAUACAUGUACUUUCCUGACGUGUUAGUUUGAUGAAAACACUGUUAACCAAUGCAUUCUUGUGUUCUGUGCGUUUUCAGGUUUCUCUCGGCCUGCAAACGCCUUAAUAG
ensembl:lncRNA